rnacentral:misc_RNA from 1 species
GGAAGGAUCAUUAACACGUAUCCUUAUACAAACAACCGUGAACAAGUUUCUACCUUGUAGAAGAGUCGCCCAGACGUAGUGAACCUGGACUGGAGGCCUGAGCCUCAAGCUCUUUCUGCUUGGCAAUUUUUAGCCAUCACCAUGGCAAUAUAUUAACCCCUUUAACUUAAAAAUGAACUAAUACAAUUCAUCAGUCAGAAAUGGCUGAUCGAAUCAAGUUAUACGUAACUAAGAACAACUCUUAGCAAUGGAUAUCUUGGUUCCCGCAACGAUGAAGAACGCAGCGAAAUGCGAUAUGUAAUGCGAAUUGCAGAAUUCAGUGAAUCAUCAAAUCUUUGAACGCAAAUUGCGCUUCCGGGACAUUCCUGGAAGCACGCCUCUUUGAGUAUCGGUUCUAUCUUAUAUCAGCAGCUUGCUUGAGCAAUCAACAAGUGUUGGCUGGAGAAUGAGUGUCUUAGCUACUCGUAGCUAAGUCGCUUGAAAUAUAGAGAGCUUGUUUCUCCUGGUUCCUCAGACCUGAAAGGGUUUGAUAGCUGCUUCAUCUUGGAAGUGCUAUGAGCUAGUGACGUGGAUAAUAUCAUCUUUACGAUGUUCUUGAAACGUCUGUGCUAGUUCAUGCGUGCUACCAUUUUAUAAGAUGGAGUGUGUGAAAGACUUGUGAGAAGCUUGCGUUGGGAAUUAACCUAACAAACCGAAUUAGAUCUCAGAUGAAGCGAGAAGACCCCCUGAAUUUAAGCAUAUUAAUAAGGGGAGGAAAAGAAACUAACAAGGAUUCCCUUAGUAACGGCGAGUGAAGCGGGAAGAGCUCAAAUUGAAAAUCGGCGUUCCUAGCGGGACGUCGAAUUGUAGCCUAGAGACGUGUUGUCAGCGUGUGACCCAGGUAUAAGUCCUUUGAAACAAGGCAUCAUAGAGGGUGAGAAUCCCGUCUUCAACCUGGAGAUUGCCGCGUACGACGCAUGUUCAUAGAGUCGAGUUGUUUGGGAUUGCAGCUCUAAUUGGGUGGUAAGUUUCAUCUAAAGCUAAAUAUUGGCGGGAGACCGAUAGCGAACAAGUACCGUGAGGGAAAGAUGAAAAGAACUUUGAAAAGAGAGUUAAAAAGUACUUGAAAUUGCUAAGAGGGAAGCGCUGGAAACCAGUUUUACCUGCGGCCAUUUUGCCGUCUGCUUACGAAGAGCUGCGAUGCAAGUGUGAAAGCCUUGUGUUGUAGUUGGACGAUAGGUGGGCGGUUUCAGUGGUCGUGGGUGAGUCAGAAUCCUUUCGAUUCGUGUGAGAAAGUUGUAAGGAAGGUAGGGUGGGCAACCACCUGUUAUAGCCUUGCAGCUCUAGCAUGGAUUGGAUUGAGGAGGACUAUGAUGCGCCUGCUGGCUUGGUACUAUGUCUCUGCUGGUUGGUUCAGUCUAGGAGAACAAUGUUCUGCGGAUUGUACUGGCUGGUACUGGGCGUAGCUAUCCUAUGCAUCAUCGCGAUUCUGACGAAAUGGUUUCCAUCGACCCGUCUUGAACACGGACCAAGGAGUCUAACAUAUAUGCGAGUAUUAGGGUGGUAAACCCUUGUGCGUAAUGAAAGUAAAGGCAGGCUUGUCCUGCUGAGGUAGGAACUGGGCAACCAGGGCACUAUCGACCGAUCAUCACUUGUGAAAGAUUUGAGUAAGAGCAUAUCUGUUGGGACCCGAAAGAUGGUGAUCUAUGCCUGAACAGGGUGAAGCCAGGGGAAACUCUGGUGGAGGCUCGUAGCGAUACUGACGUGCAAAUCGUUCGUCUGAUUUGGGUAUAGGGGCGAAAGACUAAUCGAACCUUCUAGUAGCUGGUUCCCUC